GCCUUUGUGGUGUAGUAGUCAGCUCGCUGAGCCCGUAUUCCAGAGGUCCGUGGUUCGAGUCCCGGCGAAGGCG
rnacentral:tRNA from 1 species